CCUACGGGGUGCAGCAGGCGCGAAAGCUCCGCAAUGCGGGCAACCGUGACGGGGUCACCCCGAGUGCCCCCUAUAUGGGGGCUUUUCCCCGCUGUAGGAAGGCGGGGGAAUAAGCGGGGGGCAAGUCUGGUAUCAGCCGCCGCGGUAAUACCAGCCCCGCGAGUGGUCGGGACGGUUAUUGGGCCUAAAGCGCCCGUAGCCGGCCUGGUAAGUCCCCCUCUAAAUCCCCGGGUCUCAACCCGGGGGUUGGGGGGGAUACUGCCAGGCUAGGGGGCGGGAGAGGCCGAGGGUACUCCCGGGGUAGGGGCGAAAUCCUAUAAUCCCGGGAGGACCACCAGUGGCGAAGGCGCUCGGCUGGAACGCGCCCGACGGUGAGGGGCGAAAGCCGGGGGAGCGAACCGGAUUAGAUACCCGGGUAGUCCCGGCUGUAAACGAUGCGGGCUAGGUGUUGGGCGGGCUUAGAGCCCGCCCAGUGCCGCAGGGAAGCCGUUAAGCCCGCCGCCUGGGGAGUACUGGCGCAAGGCUGAAACUUAAAGGAAUUGGCGGGGGAGCACCACAAGGGGUGGAGCCUGCGGUUUAAUUGGAGUCAACGCCGGGAAUCUCACCGGGGGCGACAGCAGGAUGACGGCCAGGCUAACGGCCUUGCCCGACGCGCUGAGAGGAGGUGCAUGGCCGUCGCCAGCUCGUGCCGUGAGGUGUCCGGUUAAGUCCGGCAACGAGCGAGACCCCCGCCCCUAGUUGCUACCCGGGGCUCCGGCCCCGGGGCACACUAGGGGGACUGCCGCCGUCCAAGGCGGAGGAAGGAGGGGGCCACGGCAGGUCAGCAUGCCCCGAAUCCCCCGGGCUACACGCGGGCUACAAUGGCGGGGACAGCGGGAUCCGACCCCGAAAGGGGGAGGCAAUCCCUCAAACCCCGCCGCAGUUGGGAUCGAGGGCUGCAACUCGCCCUCGUGAACGUGGAAUCCCUAGUAACCGCGCGUCAUCAUCGCGCGGUGAAUACGUCCCUGCUCCUUGCACUCACCGCCCGUC
rnacentral:rRNA from 1 species